rnacentral:rRNA from 1 species
AGUUGAUCAUGCUCAGAACGAACGCUGGCGGCAGGCUUAACACAUGCAAGUCGAGCGCCCGCAAGGGGAGCGGCAGACGGGUGAGUAACGCGUGGGAAUCUACCUAUCACUACGGAACAACUCCGGGAAACUGGAGCUAAUACCGUAUACGUCCGAGAGGAGAAAGAUUUAUCGGUGAUAGAUGAGCCCGCGUUGGAUUAGCUAGUUGGUGGGGUAAUGGCCUACCAAGGCGACGAUCCAUAGCUGGUCUGAGAGGAUGAUCAGCCACACUGGGACUGAGACACGGCCCAGACUCCUACGGGAGGCAGCAGUGGGGAAUAUUGGACAAUGGGCGAAAGCCUGAUCCAGCCAUGCCGCGUGAGUGAUGAAGGCCUUAGGGUUGUAAAGCUCUUUCACCGGUGAAGAUAAUGACGGUAACCGGAGAAGAAGCCCCGGCUAACUUCGUG